GACGAACGCUGGCGGCGUGCUUAACACAUGCAAGUCGAACGGAAAGGCCUGCUUUCCCUUGUGGAUUGCGGGUACUCGAGUGGCGAACGGGUGAGUAACACGUGAGUGAUCUGCCCCCAACUUGGGUAUAAGCCUGGGAAACUGGGUCUAAUUCCCGAUAGGACUGCAGGGUGGUGCCUGUGGUGGAAAACGAUUUUCUAGUGGUUGGGGAUGAGCUCGCGGCCUAUCAGCUUGUUGGUGGGGUAAUGGCCUACCAAGGCGGCGACGGGUAGCCGGCCUGAGAGGGUGGACGGCCACAUUGGGACUGAGAUACGGCCCAGACUCCUACGGGAGGCAGCAGUGGGGAAUAUUGCACAAUGGGCGGAAGCCUGAUGCAGCGACGCCGCGUGGGGGAUGACGGCCUUCGGGUUGUAAACUCCUUUCGACCGCGAGGGAGCCACCUGGUUGGAAGGGUGGUGACGGUAGUGGUAGAAGAAGCACCGGCUAACUACGUG
rnacentral:rRNA from 1 species